GUCUAAAUUAUCCCCUCUGUAGCUCCCAUCCCUAUAGCAGCAUUAUGCACAGCUCCAUCUGCUCCAGUAUUUCUCAGCUGUUUCCCUCCUCAGUGUAAUGGCCAGCUUAUGCACAGCUAACAACUUCCCAGCAGAGAAGUGAAAAAUUAAUCCAAAGCCUGCUCUGGUCGCUAAAGAGAGGAUUCCGAAAUGAGCCUGAGAAUUACACAUGCAAAUCCCAAAGGCCUGCAAUCGGGAACAUCUGAGCAACAAAUUGUCCUUGCUAGAGAUGCUGCUGGAGCCAAGAAAGCCUACAGAUUUCGGGCCUGCUGCCACGCUCCUCCCGCUGCCGCAAACGCACCCGCGCGCGCCCUCGGAAACACUUACAUUCCCUGGUCCCCGUAGU